rnacentral:rRNA from 1 species
AUUGAACGCUGGCGGCAGGCCUAACACAUGCAAGUCGAACGAGUGGCGGACGGGUGAGUAAUGUCUGGGAAACUGCCUUAUGGAGGGGGAUAACUACUGGAAACGGUAGCUAAUACCGCAUACCAUCAGAUGUGCCCAGAUGGGAUUAGCUAGUUGGUGGGGUAACGGCUCACAAAGGCAACGAUCCCUAGCUGGUCUGAGCGGAUGACAAGACCAACUGGAACGGAGAAACGGACAAGACUACUACGGGAGGCAGAAGUGGAGAAUAUUACACAAUGAGAGAAAGCCUGAUGAAGCCAUGCCGCGUGUAUGAAGAAGGCCUUCGGGUUGUAAAGUACUUUCAGCGGGGAGGCGUUACCAGCAGAAGAAGCACCGGCUAACUCCGGGCCAGCCGACGCGGUAAUAA